rnacentral:lncRNA from 1 species
CCAGUGCAUCACCUGAAAACUCGCACAUCGGCACGAGCACAACAUGCAAAUGCCAUGCCCACACCUUGCACCAGCAUCCAUUUAACACACCCGAGCAUUGGGAUAAACCACUGGAUCAUUUCCUUGAACUGUCAUCAAUGGCCCUGGAACGGGCCCCAUCGGGUCCACCAUGCCCGAGAAUUUUUUUCGAUGUUGAAUCGAGAGGUAGAGGUGGAGAGGGGGCUAACAAGCUUAUUUGCAGGCUAUACCGAUGCCCACAUAUGGCCUAGCGCAUGCCCAGGCCCCGGCCUUGCUGGCCCCCCAUGGGGUGGAAAAUUCAUCCAUAAGUUGAGUGAAAUUUAAUUUAGUUUUUUCUAAUUCUAUUUGUGGGGUUUUGAUACUUGCCUUUUAUGAUAGAUUUAAAUAAGAUUCAUAUUUGAUUUGUUUUGAAAUGAAUUAAAUUCAAACUUUUUGUCUGGAUUCGUUUUCAUUUGAAUUCU